UGGGGAAAGUGCAGACUCCCCAUUAGACGGCUCUCCGUCCAAGCUCUGC
rnacentral:ncRNA from 1 species